rnacentral:rRNA from 1 species
GACGUAGGAUGCAAGCGUUGUCCGGAAUUAUUGGGCGUAAAGCGCGCGCAGGCGGUCCUUUAAGUCUGAUGUGAAAGCCCACGGCUCAACCGUGGAGGGUCAUUGGAAACUGGGGGACUUGAGUGCAGAAGAGGAAAGCGGAAUUCCACGUGUAGCGGUGAAUGCGUAGAGAUGUGGAGGAACACCAGUGGCGAAGGCGGCUUUCUGGUCUGUAACUGACGCUGAGGCGCGAAAGCGUGGGGAGCAAACAGG